CCAUGAGCAGGUUGAAGGUUGAAUAACAUCAGCUGGAGGACCGAACCGACUAAUGUUGAAAAAUUAGCGGAUGACUUGUGGUUAGGGGUGAAAGGCCAAUCAAACCUGGAGAUAGCUGGUUCUCCCCGAAAGCUAUUUAGGUAGCGCCUCGGAUGAAUACUACUGGGGGUAGAGCACUGUUAAGGCUAGGGGGUCAUCCCGACUUACCAACCCUUUGCAAACUCCGAAUACCAGUAAGUAAUGUCCGGGAGACACACGGUGGGUGCUAACGUCCAUCGUGGAAAGGGAAACAACCCAGACCGCCAGCUAAGGUCCCUAAUUUGUAGCUAAGUGGGAAACGAUGUGGGAAGGCUUAAACAGCUAGGAUGUUGGCUUAGAAGCAGCCAUCAUUUAAAGAAAGCGUAAUAGCUCACUAGUCGAGUCGGCCUGCGCGGAAGAUAUAACGGGGCUAAGCUACAAACCGAAGCUGCGGCAAUAUAACCAACUGGUUAUAUUGGGUAGGGGAGCGUUCUGUAAGCUGUUGAAGAUAUGUCGUAAGGCAUGUUGGAGGUAUCAGAAGUGCGAAUGCUGACAUGAGUAACGAUAAUGAGGGUGAAAAACCCUCACGCCGGAAGACUAAGGGUUCCUGUCCAACGUUAAUCGGGGCAGGGUAAGUCGACUCCUAAGGUGAGGCCGAUAGGCGUAAUCGAUGGUAAACGGGUUAAUAUUCCCGUACUUUUUGCAAUUGCGAUGGGGGGACGGAGAAGGCUAGGUGUGCCUGGCGACGGUUGUCCAGGUUCAAAUAUGUAGGCGAAUAGUUUAGGGAAAUCCGGAUUAUUUUACGCUGAGAUAUGAUGUCGAGCUGCUAUGGUAGUGAAGUCAUUGAUGCCAUGCUUCCAGGAAAAUCCUCUAAGCUUACAGAUUGUAAAGAAUCGUACUCUAAACCGACACAGGUGGUCAGGUAGAGAAUACCGAGGCGCUUGAGAGAACUCGGGUGAAGGAACUAGGCAAAUUGGUACCGUAACUUCGGGAGAAGGUACACUUUUAACGGUGAAGUUCUUUGCGAAUAUAGCUGUUGAAAGUCGCAGAUACCAGAUGGCUGCAACUGUUUAUUAAAAACACAGCACUGUGCAAAAUCGUAAGAUGAAGUAUACGGUGUGACGCCUGCCCGGUGCCGGAAGGUUAAUUGAUAAGGUUAGACUUAUAAAAAGUCAAAGCUUUUGAUCGAAGCCCCGGUAAACGGCGGCCGUAACUAUAACGGUCCUAAGGUAGCGAAAUUCCUUGUCGGGUAAGUUCCGACCUGCACGAAUGGCGUAAUGAUGGCCAUGCUGUCUCCACCCGAGACUCAGUGAAAUUGAAAUUGCUGUGAAGAUGCAGUAUACCCGCGGCUAGACGGAAAGACCCCGUGAACCUUUACUACAGCUUGGCACUGAAUGUUGAACUUAUAUGUGUAGGAUAGGUGGGAGGCUUUGAAACCAGUACGCUAGUAUGGGUGGAGCCGACCUUGAAAUACCACCCUUAUAUGUUUGAUAUUCUAACUUAGCCCCGUUAUCCGGGGUGAGGACAGUGUCUGGUGGGUAGUUUGACUGGGGCGGUCUCCUCCUAAAGAGUAACGGAGGAGCACGAAGGUGGGCUAAUCACGGUUGGACAUCGUGAGGUUAGUGCAAUGGCAUAAGCCCGCUUAACUGCGAGAAUGACAAUUCGAGCAGAUGCGAAAGCAGGUCAUAGUGAUCCGGUGGUUCUGAAUGGAAGGGCCAUCGCUCAACGGAUAAAAGGUACUCCGGGGAUAACAGGCUGAUACCGCCCAAGAGUUCAUAUCGACGGCGGUGUUUGGCACCUCGAUGUCGGCUCAUCACAUCCUGGGGCUGGAGUCGGUCCCAAGGGUAUGGCUGUUCGCCAUUUAAAGUGGUACGCGAGCUGGGUUUAGAACGUCGUGAGACAGUUCGGUCCCUAUCUGUCGUGGGCGUUGGAAGAUUGAAAGGGGCUGCUUCUAGUACGAGAGGACCGAAGUGGACGAACCUCUGGUGUUCGGGUUGUAUCGCCAGAUGCAUUGCCCGGUAGCUAAGUUCGGAAUCGAUAACCGCUGAAAGCAUCUAAGCGGGAAGCGAGCCUUAAGAUUAGUCUUCCCAGGCACAUAUGUUGUCCUGAAGGGUUGUUCAAGACUAGGACGUUGAUAGGCAGGGUGUAUAAGCAUUGUGAAAUGUUAAGCUAACCUGUACUAAUUACCCGUGAGGCUUAACCA
rnacentral:rRNA from 1 species